rnacentral:misc_RNA from 1 species
GAUGAAGAACGCAGCGAAAUGCGAUAAGUAGUGUGAAUUGCAGAAUUCAGUGAAUCAUCGAAUCUUUGAACGCACAUUGCGCCCCUUGGUAUUCCACGGGGCAUGCCUGUUCGAGCGUCAUUUGUACCUUCAAGCUUUGCUUGGUGUUGGGUGUUUGUCUCGCCUUUGCGUGUAGACUCGCCUUAAAAUAAUUGGCAGCCGGCGUAUUGAUUUCGGAGCGCAGUACAUCUCGCGCUUUGCACUCAUAACGACAGCGUCCAAAAGUACAUUUUACACUCUUGACCUCGGAUCAGGUAGGGAUACCCGCUGAACUUAAGCAUAUCAAUAAGCGGAGGA